rnacentral:lncRNA from 1 species
CUCUCUUCGGCUGGGGAGAUCCUUACUCUCCAUGGCCACCAGAUGGCGAAGGCUGCCCGCGGCCCAGAAGAGAGAGGAGCCUGCAGACCCGCGCGGAAACUCUGCUGCGGGACCUGGAGGCCAAGGGUGAGGCGUGGGGUCCUCCUCCACUCCAACUGUGUGGGGAAACCUGGGUAGAACUUAAAGUUACAAAAGUCAUUGUGCAAGCCCUGCUGUCCCCACAAGGGCUUAUAGGAAGGGGUUCGGAGCUUUUCAAGGAGGCAGGGGAAAAUUAAACUCGUGUCUCUUAAUGUGUAUUUGGUGGGAGGGGAAUGCUGCCUGAAAUAAUGCAUUGCUUCGGCGGCGGUCAGAGAUCCAUGUGACGCGGGGGCACUUUAGGGACCAUUGCUGAGGGCCUGGUUAGCAUUUGGGCAGCUGAAUCCUUCCCUUGGCGAACUCCAUACGUGCCCUCGGCGACACACAGAGGACUCCCAGAGUUGAAGAAGGGGGUGGAUGUGUGUGUGCGCACUCGCCCACGUCUCGUGUUUUACUUUUCAUUUAAGUCGUAAUAAGGAGAAAUUCGAUGACCAGCAAGGCUGGAGUCCCAUCGUCUUGUUGGGGGAGAGGGGGGAGAAGAAAAAGGUGCCUGUAACUUCAGACUGUCCAAGAUAUCGCUUAGCUCCUGCGCCCGGAAGAAAAUCCAGCGCAGGUCGGGUUCCGGCGCGCGGAAGCCCUGCGAACCCCAAAUGUGUGCGCUGAGCCGAGGCCUCUAAGCGGUUUAAUUCGGAAAGAAGAGACUGCAGAGGAGAGGGAAGACCGUGAGUCUGCUUUCACCUAGGUUUAAAGCGAAUCAAAGACGGCUGUAAAAAGGGAAACCGGGACCAAAAACAGAUUUGGAGCCUCGAAACUCUCCAUUGAAGGUUUGGAAGAUACGUUGCUGCAGACUUGAAACCGGCUCCAAAUCCGGCCCAAACAUGGGCUGAAAAUAUGGCGCGCUAAUCUGCUGCUUCCCCUCCUCCUCAAGUUCUUUCUGACUCUUCCCACCUUUCCCAGUUUCCCUUCCAGACGUCUGCGGCUCCCCACUCCACCCCCAGGAUAGCUACUCUACAUCCCGACAAUUCCCAGCUUCUACACCCAGGAGGAGGAAUUCUGGAACCACCCAGAGCGAACUCGUGCCGGGGCGGGGUGGGGACCGGAGGAAGGUCCUGCUCCGAAUUCUCUCCAGAGCAGAAAAGAAUUCUAGAGGCUACAUGUGGGCUGCUUUCCCCCCUUCUUCCUUUUUUCCCUCGCAAACCAACAACCAAAAAGUGUUUGGUGAUGGAAAGAACACCAGUGGAAAACGGCAAAUAACAGUAUUUCCAACUCCGAGUCAGGUCCUCUUUGCACUGCUUUUUCCUGUUUCAUUGCAAUUUAUUGAUUUUAUUGUGGUUUUUUGUUUAUUUGGGGCAAGAACGGAGAUGUGAACCAGGACGAGCCAGCAGACCCCCGAGCCAGUAUCUCCUCCCUGGGCAGGGAACACCGCCUGCACCGGUGCAUACUAGGAGACCCUGGCGGAGAAUGUAAACAAACCGGGCGCCGAGCCCUUGAUCUUUAUUUAAAUAGAGGCUUGUUUAUCGGUGUCAUCCUAGGAGGAUUAAUUAGAUACAUCUCUUCACAAUUUGGUGUCUGACACUCCAUCUUAGGAAUGCCUUAUCAUAAGGUGUUAAUUGGGGCCACUCAGCCACUUACGUUUCUAUUAAACACUGUGAGGGACUUUUCACAAGUACCAGGUUCUUUUUUACUGUACGAUGCAAAAACAUACAGGACCCGAAAUAGACUAGGGCCAGAAUCUGCUAUAUCCCGGCAGUGAUUAGCACUUUGGGGCUUUCUAGAGGGCAGAAAUAGGAGAGCACUGUUUUCGAAAUUCCAUCGCAUCUCCCAAUAUUCGGUGGUUGGAUGCAGAUGUAAGGGGGCUGUUGGGGGUGUGGGGAAGGCGCUGACCAGGAUAGGGGGGCUAUGAGUCUCCCUUCCGGAAUCUAAAUCAGUCAUCCACAGUACAUAUAUCUUAAAAAGCACAUCUUCAACGCUUUUGUCCUUGGCUCCCCGGUAAAGUUCGGGGCGCCUUUGCCAAAGUGUUUUGAGUAGGCCGUUCGGAAACGCGGAGCAGGAGUUCGAGCCCCCAAGGUCACGGGUGGCGCGGGAAGAACUCGGGCCCCAGAGGGACGGAGGGGAAGGGAGACAGGACAGUCGAGGUACAAGGUCCUGGCGGCCUUAAUUGGGCGCAGAAGGGGAGGAGGUCUCGGCUGAUUGCUCGCCUCCCAGCAGCUAAUCCUCUUAGCAGCUGCAUUUCCGCGCUACACAGUUAGCAGAAUGAUCCUCCCAGCUAGACCUUUACCCCGG